GAUUUCUGGUUGGAUGUGUUUGGCCCGCCAUGGUUUCAUGUGUGAGUGCCUCGACUCAUCUGCCAUCCUUCUAGACACCCUCGACUCUCUUCAUUGAGGGGCCGAGGCGAUCUAGAUCUUUUACUUUGAAAAAAUUAGAGUGUUUCAAGCAGGCGCAUUGCUAUGAAUACAUUAGCAUGGAAUAAUAAUUUAGGACUUCGGUUCUAUUUUGUUGGUUUCUAGAGCUGAAGUAAUGAUUGAUAGGGAUAGUUGGGGGUGCUAGUAUUCAGUGGCCAGAGGUGAAAUUCUCGGAUUCCCUGAAGACUAACUUAUGCGAAAGCAUU
rnacentral:rRNA from 1 species